rnacentral:lncRNA from 1 species
GGCAUUCAUUUAAAGAAGGAAAUGUCUUCACAGAGCAGUACAAAUAAUCGCUAACGAGCAUCCUUUCAUAAUGAAAUCUUUCAGACGAGGCAAGAUGCUCUAUCAAAGUGGUUGAACCGAACAGGAUUGUUGUUGACACUGGCCGGGGUCAUCAGCCCCAUUCUCUACUCUUUGAUGCAGUGUGGAACGAGAGCGCUAACCAGAAGGAUAUUUAUGAAUCGACAGCAAGGGUAGAUAAUCUACGCACCACAUGUUGAAGGGAAUCGUUUUGUGUAGUCAUGCUUGACUUUGGCAGUAACUCACUCACUCACCGAAAGACUUACCGGACUGGAAGUCACUGGAGAAACAAGUAAUUGAAAUGUAGCGCAGGAAAGAUGGGAGUUAGUGAUUUAUGAAGUCGGGAAAGCGCAAUGACUCAGGUCUGAGUCUGACGGGUCUAACGUGAAGUUCGUCUCCUCAGCCUCUGGUGGGGUCCCUCGUGCAGGGCUACAACGGCUGUGUCAUCGCGUACGGCUCCCGCUGCAGUGGAAAGACCUACACCAUGCUUGGCGGGAGCUUGACGGGCAAGCAGCGGGGUAUCCUCAGCCGCGUAGCCGAGGACAUUUUUAACUGUAUCCUUUUCCUGUUGUCAUUUGAGCCCCUGCUCCCCGUAUGUUCAGGCGCACCAGUAUAGGACAGUAUAUAACCUUGGACUGGACGUUUUGCCUGGGCCUUAUGAUGGAAAUAUGAAUAAAAUUGGUGUUUCAGCAGUGUUUGUGUAUUUUGUAGGCCUUCAGGUGAUGGAUCAUUCCAAGGCGUAUUAUUAAAUUAAGCAAGAUCGUAUUGCAGGACGGAGGUUAUGAAUCUACUGUCAGUGACUCCCUUAGACAGCAGCGGACUGUGAUGAAAACAAUAUUUUUGUUCCCUUAACUACACGGCUGUACUCAGCGCCCGAUGCUUCCACCUGCAGUGUCAGAGUGUCCUUCUAUCACAUUUCCAAUGAGAAGAUCUAUGAUCUGCUGGACAGCCAUCCCUCGGAGGUGAGCCGCAUCCACGAGGGGGAGGACGCGGUGGUGCUGGAGGGCCUGAAGGAGGUGGAGGUGGGCUCCCCACAGGCCCUGCUCCAGGUCUACCGAUGUGGGGCCACCAAGAGACAAGCAGGUGUGAGAACAUGCGUGUGUGUGUGUGUGAGUGAGUGUGUGUUUGUGUUGAGUUAGUGUGUUGAAUGUGUGUGUGUGUGUGUGUGUGAACAUAAGCACUAAAGCUGUCAGGCUCACACGUGGCAGAGUUGUUCAGGACCGCGUCUCCCAUAAGUCUUCUUCAGCUUCCACCAUGUGAACCUGUGGAGCGAGUGUUCAAAAUGAGCAUCUCUCUAUCAUUUGAGGAUGGUAGUUGUUGAACAAUGCUUUCAGGGAAAUGCUUUGGGUAGAUAUAGAAGAAAUGACCAAUUUUGAGAAGUAAAAGCUGUUUUCGAACCUCGCUUACUAUGAUAUAUAGACUGAC